UACGUAGGGGGCAAGCGUUGUCCGGAUUUAUUGGGCGUAAAGAGCGUGUAGGCGGCCAGGGAGGUCCGUUGUGAAAACUCGAGGCUCAACCUCGAGACGCCGAUGGAAACCCCCUGGCUAGAGUCCGGAAGAAGAGAGUGGAAUUCCUGGUGUAGCGGUGAAAUGCGCAGAUAUCAGGAAGAACACCUAUGGCGAAGGCAGCUCUCUGGGACGGUACUGACGCUGAGACGCGAAAGCGUGGGGAGCGAACAGG
rnacentral:rRNA from 1 species